GACGAACGCUGGCGGCGUGCUUAACACAUGCAAGUCGAACGCUGAACCCGCUUCGGUGGGGGAUGAGUGGCGAACGGGUGCGUAACACGUGGGCAACCUGCCCCCGGCUCUGGGAUAACUCCAAGAAAUUGGGGCUAAUACCGGAUGUGACCGCUGGCCGCAUGCUCUGGUGGUGGAAAGGGUUUCCGGCUGGGGAUGGGCCCGCGGCCUAUCAGCUUGUUGGUGGGGUAGUGGCCUACCAAGGCGACGACGGGUAGCCGGCCUGAGAGGGUGACCGGCCACACUGGGACUGAGACACGGCCCAGACUCCUACGGGAGGCAGCAGUGGGGAAUAUUGCGCAAUGGGCGGAAGCCUGACGCAGCGACGCCGCGUGGGGGAUGACGGCCUUCGGGUUGUAAACCUCUUUCAGCAGGGACGAAGCGCAAGUGACGGUACCUGCAGAAGAAGCACCGGCCAACUACGUG
rnacentral:rRNA from 1 species